CUACGGGGCGCACCAGUGGGGAAUAUUGGACAAUGGGGGAAACCCUGAUCCAGCAAUGCCGCGUGUGUGAAGAAGGCCUGCGGGUUGUAAAGCACUUUCAGUAGAGAAGAAAAGCCUAUGGUUAAUAGCCGUGGGUCUUGACGUAACCUACAGAAGAAGCUCCGGCUAACUCCGUGCCAGCAGCCGCGGUAAUACGGAGGGAGCGAGCGUUAAUCGGAAUUACUGGGCGUAAAGCGCGCGUAGGCGGCUUUGUAAGUCGGAUGUGAAAGCCCUGGGCUCAACCUGGGAAUUGCAUUCGAAACUGCAGAGCUAGAGUAUGGUAGAGGGAAGUGGAAUUUCCGGUGUAGCGGUGAAAUGCGUAGAUAUCGGAAGGAACACCAGUGGCGAAGGCGACUUCCUGGGCCAAUACUGACGCUGAGGUGCGAAAGCGUGGGGAGCAAACAGGAUUAGAUACCCGGGUAGUC
rnacentral:rRNA from 1 species